UACGUAGGGUGCGAGCGUUGUCCGGAAUUAUUGGGCGUAAAGAGCUCGUAGGCGGUCUGUCGCGUCGAUCGUGAAAACUUGGGGCUUAACCCUGAGCUUGCGGUCGAUACGGGCAUGACUGGAGUUCGGCAGGGGAGACUGGAAUUCCUGGUGUAGCGGUGAAAUGCGCAGAUAUCAGGAGGAACACCGGUGGCGAAGGCGGGUCUCUGGGCCGAUACUGACGCUGAGGAGCGAAAGCCAGGGAGCAAACGGG
rnacentral:rRNA from 1 species